rnacentral:rRNA from 1 species
GAUGAACGCUAGCGGGAGGCCUAACACAUGCAAGCCGAGCGGUAUUGUUUCUUCGGAAAUGAGAGAGCGGCGUACGGGUGCGGAACACGUGUGCAACCUGCCUUUAUCUGGGGGAUAGCCUUUCGAAAGGAAGAUUAAUACUCCAUAACAUAUUGAACGGCAUCGUUUGAUAUUGAAAGCUCCGGCGGAUAGAGAUGGGCACGCGCAAGAUUAGCUAGUUGGUGAGGUAACGGCUCACCAAGGCGAUGAUCUUUAGGGGGCCUGAGAGGGUGGUCCCUCACACUGGUACUGAGACACGGACCAGACUCCUACGGGAGGCAGCAGUGAGGAAUAUUGGUCAAUGGGUGCAAGCCUGAACCAGCCAUCCCGCGUGAAGGACGACUGCCCUAUGGGUUGUAAACUUCUUUUGUAUAGGGAUAAACCUACCCUCGUGAGGGUAGCUGAAGGUACUAUACGAAUAAGCACCGGCUAACUCCGUGCCAGCAGCCGCCGUAAUAC